UUUGACCGUGCGAAGGUAGCGCAAUCACUUGUCCUUUAAAUGAGGACCUGUAUGAAAGGCAUGACGAGGGCUUAGCUGUCUCCCCUGUCUAGUCAAUGAAAUUGAUCUCCCCGUGCAGAAGCGGGGAUAGUACCAUAAGACGAGAAGACCCUAUGGAGCUUGAGACUAUCGAACGGCCCAUGUUAAACUUCCCAUUAUAAAUGGGCAGACCCAUAAUGAGUUGCUCCGUCCUUAUGUCUUUGGUUGGGGCGACCA
rnacentral:rRNA from 1 species